GACGAACGCUGGCGGCGUGCCUAAUACAUGCAAGUUGAGCGCUGAAGGUUUGUACUUGUACCGACUGGAUGAGCAGCGAACGGGUGAGUAACGCGUGUGGAAUCUGCUUUUGUGUGGGGGACAUCAUUGGGAAACGAAUGCUUAUACCGCAUAAAAACUUUAAACACAAUUUUUAAUUUUGAAAGAUGCAAUUGCAUCACUCAAAGAUGAUUCCUCGUUGUAUUAGUUAGGUGGUGAGGUAAAGGCUCACCAAGGCGGUGAUACAUAGCCGCCCUGAGAGGGUGAUCGGCCGCAUUGGGACGGAGACAGGGCACAAAGGGCUUGGGGAGGGAGCAGUAGGGAAUCUUCGGCAAUGGACGAAAGUCUGACCGAGCAACGCCGAGUGAGUGAAGAAGAUUUUCGGAUCGUAAAACUCUGUUGGUAGAGAAGAAAGUUGGUGAGAGUGGAAAGAUCAUCAAGUGACGGUAACUAGCCAGAAAGGGACGGCUAACUACGUG
rnacentral:rRNA from 1 species